UUCCGCAGCAGCACGGAGGACAUGGAGCGGGCCUUGUCAGAGUACCUGGCAGUCUUUGCCCGGUGCCUGGCCGGCUGUGAAGGGGCCCAUGAGCAGGUGGACUUCAAGGACUUCUACCCGGCCAUAGCAGAUCUCUUUGCAGAGUCCCUGCAGUGCAAGGUGGACUGUGAGGCCAAUUUGACCCCCAAUGUGGGUGGCUACUUCGUGGACAAGUUCGUGGCCACCAUGUACCACUACCUGCAGUUUGCCUACUAUAAGUUGAAUGAUGUGCGCCAGGCUGCCCGCAGCGCCGCCAGCUACAUGCUCUUCGACCCCAAGGACAGCGUCAUGCAGCAGAACCUGGUGUAUUACCGGUUCCACCGGGCUCGCUGGGGCCUGGAAGAGGAGGACUUCCAGCCCCGGGAGGAGGCCAUGCUCUACCACAACCAGACCGCCGAGCUGCGGGAGCUGCUGGAGUUCACCCACAUGUACCUGCAGUCAGAUGAUGAGAUGGAGCUGGAGGAGACAGAACCGCCCCUGGAGCCUGAGGAUGCCCUAUCUGACGCCGAGUUUGAGGGGGAGGGUGACUACGAGGAGGGCAUGUAUGCUGACUGGUGGCAGGAGCCGGAUGCCAAGGGUGACGAGGCCGAGGCUGAGCCAGAGCCUGAACUCGCAUGAGAAGGGGACACCCCACACCGCUCAAGCUUGGGAAGCCUGGUGCCGAUGGCCCCACCCUCACCAGCCUGGGCAGCAGCAAGAACUAUUUAUUAAAAACUUAAGAUGGGCCAGGUGCGGUGGCUCACACCUGUAAUCCCAGCAUUUUGGGAGGCCAAGGUGGGUGGAUCACUUGAGGCCAGGAGUUCAAGACCAGCCUGGCCAACAUGAUGAGACCUCCGUCUCUACUAAAAUACAUAAAUUAGCCGGGUGUGGUGGCAGGCGCCUGAAAUCCCAGCUACUCAAGAGGCUGAGGCAGGAGAAUCGCUUGAACCUGGGAGGCAAAGGUUGCAGUGAACUGAGAUUGCGCCACCGCACUCCAGCCUGGGCGACAGAGCGAGACUCCAUCUUUAAAAAAAAACAAGACGGGCCGGCACGGUGGCUCACGCCUGUAAUCCCAGCACUGAGAGGCCGAUCACUUGAGGUCAGGAGUUCAAGACCAGCCUGGCCAACAUGGUGAAACCC
rnacentral:lncRNA from 1 species